rnacentral:rRNA from 1 species
AUGGAAUCUUCGGAGGAAAGAAGUGAUAGAAAGCGGCGGACGGGUGAGUAACGCGUAGGUAACCUGCCCCAUACAGAGGGAUAGCCACUGGAAACGGUGAUUAAUACCUCAUGACACUUUCUCUUCGCAUGGAGGGAAGGUCAAAGAUUUAUCGGUAUGGGAUGGACCUGCGUCUGAUUAGCUUGUUGGUGGGGUAACGGCCUACCAAGGCGACGAUCAGUAGCCGACCUGAGAGGGUGAUCGGCCACAUUGGAACUGAGACACGGUCCAAACUCCUACGGGAGGCAGCAGUGGGGAAUAUUGCACAAUGGGGGAAACCCUGAUGCAGCAACGCCGCGUGAAGGAAGAAGGCCUUUGGGUCGUAAACUUCUGUUCUGAGGGAAGAAGAAAGUGACGGUACCUCAGGAGAAAGCCCCGGCUAACUACGUGCCAGCAGCCGCGGUAAUACGUAGGGGGCAAGCGUUGUCCGGAAUUAUUGGGCGUAA